rnacentral:rRNA from 1 species
CCUACGGGUGACAGCAGUAGGGAAUUUUCGUCAAUGGGCGCAAGCCUGAACGAGCAAUGCCGCGUGAACGAGGAAGGUCUUCGGAUCGUAAAGUUCUGUUGAAGGGGAAAAAGUGCGGAGAGAGGAAAUGAACUCCGAUUGAUAUUACCCUUCGAGGAAGUCACGGCUAACUACGUGCCAGCAGCCGCGGUAAUCCGUAGGUGGCGAGCGUUAUCCGGAAUGAUUGGGCGUAAAGGGUGCGUAGGCGGCCUACUAAGGCUGGAGUGAAAGGUACCGGCUCAACCGGUACAGGCUCUGGAAACUGGCGGGCUAGAGAGCAGGAGAGGGCGGUGGAACUCCAUGUGUAGCGGUAAAAUGCGUAGAUAUAGGGAAGAACACCAGUGGCGAAGGCGGCCGCCUGGCCUGUUACUGACGCUGAGGCACGAAAGCGUGGGGAGCAAAUAGGAUUAGAUACCCGUGUAGUC